CAAUAGCGUAUAUUAAAGUUGUUGCGGUUAAAAGCUCGUAGUUGGAUUUCUGUUGAGAGCGGCCGGUCCACCUUUUGGGUGAGUAUCUGGAUUGGUCUCGGCAUCCUCUCGAGAAACGUUUCUGCGCUUGAUUGCGUGGUACGGGUUUCGAGACUUUUACUUUGAGGAAAUUAGAGUGUUCACGGCAGGCAUACGCCUUGAAUAUAUUAGCAUGGAAUAAUACUAUAGGAUUUUCGUUCUAUUUUGUUGGUUUCUAGUGCGAAAAUAAUGAUUAAUAGGGACAAUUGGGGGCAUUCGUAUUGACGAGUCAGAGGUGAAAUUCUUGGAUUUCGUCACGACGAACGACUGCGAAAGCAUUUGCCAAGGAUGUUUUCAUUGAUCAAGAACGAAAGUAAGGGGAUCGAAGACGAUCAGAUACCAU
rnacentral:rRNA from 1 species